AUUGAACGCUGGCGGCAGGCCUAACACAUGCAAGUCGAGCGGAGCGGCGGACGGGUGAGUAAUGCCUAGGAAUCUGACUGGUAGAGGGGGAUAACGUCCGGAAACGGGAGCUAAUACCGCAUACUAUCAGAUUAGCCUCGGUCGGAUUAGCUCGUUGGUGGGGUAAAGGCCUACAACGGCGACGAUCCGUAACUGGGCUGAGAGGAUGAUCAGUCACGUUGGAACUGAGACACGUGCCAGACUCCUCCGGGAGGCAGCAGUGGGGAAUAUUGGCCAAUGGGCGAAAGCCGGAUCCAGCCAUGCCGCGGGUGUGAAGAAGGUCUUCGGAUUGUAAAGCACUUUAAGUUGGGAGGCGUUACCAACAGAAUAAGCACCGGCUAACUUCGUGCCAGCCGCCGCGGUAAUAC
rnacentral:rRNA from 1 species